rnacentral:misc_RNA from 1 species
UCCGGUUUGGCACCGGCAGUCUCCGAUGAGUCCCCGACAUAACUCGCUGGCAACAUCGGACAGGGGUUGCGCUCGUUGCGCCACUUAAGGCAACACCUCACGGCACGAGCUGACGACAGCCAUGCAGCACCUGUGCGGGCUCCCGAAGGAGGACCGUGUUUCCACACCGGUCACUGACAUGUCAAGCCCAGGUAAGGUUCUUCGCGUUGCGUCGAAUUAAACCACAUGCUCCACCGCUUGUGCGGGCCCCCGUCAAU